AACAUUUCAACAAACAAAUUAAUGAUAAACAAAGGGAGUCCGUUAGCGAAUCACACAAACCCUAUAGACAUUUAUUUGAUUGUACAUAAGGUCACUUGAAGGUUGAACAUGUGAAAAAAAACACAUACAAUGUCACAGAAUAACAAAAUUAAUAUUAAUUAAAUAUAAUUUGGGUUAUUUUUUAACAUAAUUUAUUGAUUAGCUUUUUAAUACUUAUAUAAGUUGGGAUAUUAUUCAAUUUAAAGGCAAAAGGAGUUGAAAACUUUGUUAUUUUAAUCCAAUAAGAAUUGGUUGUUGGUUGGUAUUGCUUGGUCACAAAAAUCUUAUUGCUUUUGAACUUACUUUGCCUUCUGCGGGGACAUUCAACAUUUUGUCUUAUUUGUUGUUGUAUUACUUUGGGAAAUAUUAAUAAUUAUAUUCACUUGCUUAAUGCACAACACAGUUUGUUAAUUGUUUUUAUUUUGGCAAAUAACUAAUUCUUCUAAGCAAAUCACCCAAAACUUUUAGCCGCCAAACCGACAACACCACAUAUAAAGAACCAAA